rnacentral:lncRNA from 1 species
GGACCAGUCUCUUUGCUUCCCUCUGGGAUGUUUUUUUUGAUCCAGCUUGACUUUCUUUGUACAGCUACUGAGAGAGCCAGCAGAUAUUCACUGUACAGUUGUCCAGCUCUUUCUCCUCUUACUCAUCCAGCACCGUGGGAAUGUCUAGGCUCAACUUUCCUUUAGUUGGAAUUUCAGGCAGUUCCAAUUCCAGAAGUUCACAGCUGCCCUGUGGUGGACAUCUUUCUUCAUCACAACAUACAAAAAUCCUGGGAACAGCUGCUCUGCAGCCACGGGAAGGCCUUUCGGAGAGAGCUGGGAGCAGAGAAGGGGAAGCGAUGUCAAAGAUGGAUUCUGGAAUUAUCCAAUACUGCCAUAUCUGCCAUGCCUGGAUCUUGACAAGUAUAUUUACUGAUUGGGGAGCAAAAAUAGAGCUUUCAUGUUACUCAGAGCACCUUAAACAAGGGGGACAUCAGAAAAUAAUAGUAGACUUAUUCAUAUUAGGGCAGAAUGUAUAA